rnacentral:lncRNA from 1 species
CAAACCUUUUUUUAAUAAAAUAGGAAAACUUCAAAUAUCAUUCUGAAUUUCAUACUUUUUUAUUUAUUCUGUGAUUUAAAGCGUAUCAAUUUAGUAUCUUAUGCUUUUAUUUUUAUCUUUUUAUUAUCGAUUUCAUUAAUUUUUUUUUCGUUAAAUCAAUGACAAAGUUAAAAUUAAAGAAUACUAAAGUGAAUAAUCGAUAAACCUAGCUAGGUGAAAUAUUUAAAGUUUUUUGUGUAUAAUUUAACGAAUUAUUAACAGAGAAACGGACAAAAAGGUAAAAAUGAAACCAUAGGACACUAACUUGAUACAUUUUAAACCACAGGGUACUAAAUUGAGAAAGUGCGAAACCAAUGGUAUCUGAAGUUUACCCCAUAAAAUAACUACAUGAGAUUUAGGCUUCAUUUAAGAUUACAAUAAAAUUGUAUCCUGCUAAGAAAGUAUAAUUAAAAAAAAAUAUUUUAUUUGUUGUUAUAUAUAAUUUUACGUUUUUUUUUUUUUUGAUAUCGCAAUGAAUCGAUUACGACAUACUUACUAUGAUCUGAAUAAAAAGUAAAAAAACUAUAUUCCAUAUGUUUUUCUCCAAACUCUAUUUUGCCUAUUUAUAUUAGAUAUAUCUCAAUACCAAACGAGUCUUUUUUAAAGCACCGUUUGGUUCCGGUAUAAAAAAGAACUAGCCAUUACAGGUAUAGGUACAAGUAUGGGGAUAAGAAAAAUAGCGUUUGGAUGAAAAUUGGAUAAUUUCCGGGAAUAAGAAAAAUAUUAGGUAGUUUUAUAUAGAAAAUGAAGGUAUUGGUGGGGAUAACCGAGAACUACUAUUCUCGGAUAAAAAAUUAGCGUUUGGGUAUAAAGGAGGGAAUAGGGGUCUAUCUCUAUCCCCUAACCAAACACUGCUUGUGUAACGCACAAGGGUGGGGGCAUGGGAGUGUGUUUUGUUGUUCAAUGGAGACAGUUUAUAAUUAAAGUUUAGAAUCUUUUUGUACUAAUGGAAGUUGCACAAAUAUUUUUAUAGGGGUACCAACCAAUCUGACUAUGACAAGUUAAGCUAAGUCGGUUGUGCUACUAAUUAAGGGCCUCUAUAAGGUCUAUGGUUCAUUAUAUCGCGUCGUUAGGCUAAGCAUCUUGUUAAGAUAUCCACAAUAAUUUACCUUUACAGAAAAAUGCUAACUACAACAGAAGUGUAUAUCUUACAUCUUUUCUGUUCUAGAGUUUUACAAAUUGGUCUUUUGGAAUUUUAUUUAAGAAUAAGUCGACAAUGUUGAAACUUCACUAGAAACUAAGAUCGUAUUUUCUAGAAGCUAAUUUUUUUUUAUUUAGUCAAUAUUUCAAUGCAAAUGAACAUAACUAAAAACAAAAAAAAAACAAAUGGAAAAAUUAUAGAAUGAGUAUUAUUUUUCAUUAAGAUGCCCGUAGAUUGUACGCGCUCUUUUCAAUGUAUAGCAAAGUAUGAAUUUAAUAUCUAAUUAAUCAACUACUCCGAAUAGUGAUGAUAGUAAUAAGCUUAAGCACACAUUCUAACCAAUUAACUACUCUAAAUAGAAUUGAUAAUAAUAAAAUUAAGCACAACAACAUGGGAGGGGUUAACUUACAGUAAAAUGGAAAGUUAAUAUUUAGCCAAUCAAUUACUCUAAAUAGCGAUAAUAGUAAUAAGAUUAAGCACACACUUAGAAAGAGACAAAAGGUCAAACAGCAGCAUCAACACAGGAGAGAUUAAUUUACAGUAAGAUAGAAACGUAAUAUUUAACCAGCCAACUACUCUAAAUAGUGAUGAUAGCAGUAAACUUAAGCAACAUGCUUAAAACAGAGGCGAAAGGUGAAACAGUGGCACCAACAUGGGAGGGAUUAGCCUCUUCCUAGAUGGCCAGAGGACCUGNAGCUUUUUGGUCCCCUCACCGCGCGUGGUUGUUGUACAAACUGAGUUUUUUUUUUUUUUUUUUUUUUUUUUUUUUUUGGCUCAACAUAUUGUGUCCCUUCUCCACCUUGGUUAUCGAGCUCAAACCUUUUUUUUUUUCAUAAAAUAGGAAAAACUUUAAAUACCAUCAGUAUGAUUUCAUACUUUCUCACUUAUUUUGUGGUUUAAAGUGUAUCAAUUUAGUAUCUUAUGCUUUCAUUUUUAUCUUUUUAUUAUUGAUUUUACUAAUCUUUUUUUGUUAAAUCAGUAACAAAGUUAAAGCUAAAGGGUACUAAAGUGAAUAUUCGAUAAACCUAGGUGAAAUAUUUAAAGUUUUUUUUAUAUAAUUUAACGAAUUAUUAACAGAGAAACGGACAAAAAGGUAAAAAUGAAACCAUUGGACACUAACUUGAUACAUUUUAAAUCACAUGGUACUAAAUUGAGAAAGUACGAAACCACAAGGAUGGUGUCUGAAGUACCCUAUAAAAUAACUAUAUGAGAUUUAGGCUUCAUUUAAGAUUACAAUAAAAUUGUAUCCCACUAAGAAAGUAUAAUUAAAAAAAAAAAUUUUAUUUGUUGUUAUAUAUAAUAUUACGUUUUUUUUUUUUUUGAUAUUGCAAUGAAUCGAUUACGAUAUACUUACUAUGAUUUGAAUAAAAAGUAAAAAAACUAUAUUCUAUAUAUUUUUCUCCAAACUCUAUUUUGCCUAUUUAUAUUAGAUAUAUCUCAAUACCAAACGAGUCUUUUUUAAAGCACCGUUUGGUUCGGGUAUAAGAAAAAAGUAGCCAUUAUAGAGAUAGGUACAAGUAUGGGGAUAAGAAAAAUAGCGUUUGGAUGAAAAUUGGAUAGUUCUCGGAGAUAAGAAAAAUAUUAGGUAGUUUUAUAUAGAAAAUGGAGGUGUUGGUGGGGAUAAUCGAGAACUACUAUUUUCGAAUAAAAAAUUAGUAUUUGGGUAUAAAGGGGAUAAGGGCUUAUCCCUAUUCCUAUUCCCUAACCAAACACU